rnacentral:rRNA from 1 species
GAGGGGUUGUAGCUGGCCGGAAGGCAUGUGCACGCCUCGAUCAUCAUCCAUCUCACACCUGUGCACAUACUGUAGGUCGGUUUGUGGGGUGAAGUCUUCAUUGAUUUCGCUCUGUGGGCCUUCCUAUGUUUUAUUACAAACUACUAGUUUCAAGAAUGUCUAUUGCGUGUAACGCAUUUAUAUACAACUUUCAGCAACGGAUCUCUUGGCUCUCGCAUCGAUGAAGAACGCAGCGAAAUGCGAUAAGUAAUGUGAAUUGCAGAAUUCAGUGAAUCAUCGAAUCUUUGAACGCACCUUGCGCUCCUUGGUAUUCCGAGGAGCAUGCCUGUUUGAGUGUCAUGGAAUUCUCAACUUCAUUUGCUUUUGUGAAUGAAGCUUGGACUUGGAGGUUGUUGCUGGCCAUAUGGAUCGGCUCCUCUUGAAUAUAUUAGCUCGAACCUUUGUGGAUCAGCUUCGGUGUGAUAAUUGUCUACGCCGUUCUGUAAAGCAUAGCUAUAGGUUUCGGCUUCUAAUAGUCCUUCGCUGGACAAUAUCUUUGACCUUUGACCUCAAAUCAGGUAGGAUUACCCGCUGAACUUAAGCAUAUCAAUAAGCGGAGGAAAAGAAACUAACAAGGGAUUCCCUUAGUAACUGCGAGUGAAGCGGGAAAAGCUCAAAUUUAAAAUCUGGCGGUCUUCGGGCCGUCCGAGUUGUAGUCUGGAGAAGUGCUUUCCGCGCUGGACCGUGUACAAGUCUCUUGGNAACAGANCGUCAUAGAGGGUGAGAAUCCCGUCUUUGACACGGGACUACCAGNGCUCUGUGAUGCGCUCUCAAAG